GUGAACCUGCGGAAGGAUCAUUGUCAA
rnacentral:rRNA from 1 species